rnacentral:rRNA from 1 species
UACGGAGGAUGCGAGCGUUAUCCGGAUUUACUGGGUGUAAAGGGCGUGUAGCCGGGCUGACAAGUCAGAUGUGAAAUCCGGGGGCUCAACCCCCGAACUGCAUUUGAAACUGUUGGUCUUGAGUAUCGGAGAGGCAGGCGGAAUUCCUAGUGUAGCGGUGAAAUGCGUAGAUAUUAGGAGGAACACCAGUGGCGAAGGCGGCCUGCUGGACGACAACUGACGGUGAGGCGCGAAAGCGUGGGGAGCAAACAGG